rnacentral:rRNA from 1 species
GGCCCAUGCCGGCAGCUUACCAUGCAAGUCGAGCGGUAGCACAGGGGAGCUUGCUCCCCGGGUGACGAGCGGCGGACGGGUGAGUAAUGUCUGGGAAACUGCCUGAUGGAGGGGGAUAACUACUGGAAACGGUAGCUAAUACCGCAUAACGUCGCAAGACCAAAGAGGGGGACCUUCGGGCCUCUUGCCAUCAGAUGUGCCCAGAUGGGAUUAGCUAGUAGGUGGGGUAAUGGCUCACCUAGGCGACGAUCCCUAGCUGGUCUGAGAGGAUGACCAGCCACACUGGAACUGAGACACGGUCCAGACUCCUACGGGAGGCAGCAGUGGGGAAUAUUGCACAAUGGGCGCAAGCCUGAUGCAGCCAUGCCGCGUGUGUGAAGAAGGCCUUCGGGUUGUAAAGCACUUUCAGCGAGGAGGAAGGUGGUGAGCUUAAUACGCUCAUCAAUUGACGUUACUCGCAGAAGAAGCACCGGCUAACUCCGUGCCAGCAGCCGCGGUAAUACGGAGGGUGCAAGCGUUAAUCGGAAUUACUGGGCGUAAAGCGCACGCAGGCGGUUUGUUAAGUCAGAUGUGAAAUCCCCGGGCUCAACCUGGGAACUGCAUUUGAAACUGGCAAGCUAGAGUCUCGUAGAGGGGGGUAGAAUUCCAGGUGUAGCGGUGAAAUGCGUAGAGAUCUGGAGGAAUACCGGUGGCGAAGGCGGCCCCCUGGACGAAGACUGACGCUCAGGUGCGAAAGCGUGGGGAGCAAACAGGAUUAGAUACCCUGGUAGUCCACGCUGUAAACGAUGUCGAUUUGGAGGUUGUGCCCUUGAGGCGUGGCUUCCGGAGCUAACGCGUUAAAUCGACCGCCUGGGGGAGUACGGCCGCAAGGUUAAAACUCAAAUGAAAUUGACGGGGGGCCCGCACAAGCGGUGGGAGCAUGUUGGUUUAAUUCGAUGCAAACGCGAAGAAACCUUACCUACUUCUUGACAUCCAGAGAACUUUGCAGAGAUGGCUUUGUGCCCUUCCGGAAACUCCUGAAAACAGGUGCUGCAAUGGCUGUCGUCCAGCCUCCGUGUUCGUGCAAAUGGUUAGGGGUUUAAGUCCCCAACAACGGAGGCGCAAUAUCCCUUAAUCCUAUUGUUGGCUAGGCGGGUUUCGGGCGCGUGGGACCUCCAGAAUGAGAAACUUG